ensembl:rRNA 5S_rRNA 5S ribosomal RNA
GCUUGCGGCCACACCGGCCUGAGUACGCCUGAUCUCGUCCGAUCUCGGAAGCUAAGCAGGGUCGGGCCUGGUUAGUACUUGGAUGGGAGACAGGUUGGGAAUACCAGGUGCUGUAAGCU